GAGGUGCAUGGCCGUCGUCAGUUCGUACUGUGAAGCAUCCUGUUAAGUCAGGCAACGAGCGAGACCCACGCCAACAGUUGCCAGCUCGUCCUCCGGGGAUGGUGGGGACACUGUUGGGACCGCCUCUGCUAAAGAGGAGGAAGGAAUGGGCAACGGUAGGUCAGCAUGCCCCGAAUUAUCUGGGCUACACGCGGGCUACAAUGGGUGGGACAAUGGGUAUCGACACCGAAAGGUGAAGGCAAUCUCCUAAACCCAUCCGUAGUUCGGAUUGUGGGCUGCAACUCGCCCACAUGAAGCUGGAAUCUGUAGUAAUCGUGUCUCAAAAUGGCACGGUGAAUAUCGUCCCUGCUCCUU
rnacentral:rRNA from 1 species